rnacentral:lncRNA from 1 species
GCUGCUUUGUAAAUUAAAUAUGAACAGACUGGUGCGCUCACACUCCAAGCGUCCCUCCCUCUCCCCUACUCCUGUCGUCGCUACAGGCGGCCCAGCGGGCUGGGACCAUCGCAUCUUGCUCAGCCCCAGUUCAGAACACAGAACUUCACACCGCCUGCUCGGGCCUGGAGUCCCCCCCCGCCGCCGACCCACGGGGAGGGCGCAAGGCGCCUUUCAGGGAAGGUGUCUUCGAAAAUGGUCGAGGGGUGAGAGCACUGUGACCCGUCCCUGCCGGGGAUCCUGUGGUGGGACAGCCAGGAUUGGGUCCCUAGCCCGGGGGAGGCAGAAUCUGGGUAAUGGAAGGGAGAAUGGGCUCGCUAUCUGCCCAGAGCUUCCCUGGACUGCAGGAACCCGUCCUAUAAGCAACCCCGAAACUUCGGGGCCCGAGGACCAGGGAAGACCCCCUUUCCUUGCUGUCUUGACAGGGUUGCAGAAGCCAAGGAGUUCGGCAGGGAGACGGGGCUCCUGGGGUGGUUAAAGACGCGGUGACCACCCCUGGGCGGGAGCUGACUCCCGCGGGCCCGGAGGCUCUAGCUUACUCUACAGCAAAUGCUUUUGUUCCCGGAGGCUGCCCUGGGGGAAAGACGCCCCUUACCCCUGCCUUCGACCCUGGAGAGCCCAGUGCCCGCCCGGGCAGGGCUGGAGCCCGAGUCGCCCCAGGCAGAGUCCGCCGAGGCCUGGGGUGGGAGCCGCGACUUCUGGAUCUGCCUCCGAGCUCAGCUAGAAGACUGCGCGCACCUCGUCCGGCGCCGCCCGGCGCGCAGAAGCGGGUCUAAUGUUUAUAACGUUAAUAAUGACAGUUAGGGAGGGCUGUGGAGCCGGGAACCAAGACCUCAUCCCGCCGCCGCCCACGUCUUUGAUCAUUAAAGAAACAGACAACUAAUCAGGUGUGUGGAAGUAGGGGUGGGGGAGGGGAGGGUGACAAGGUUCCAAGCCGCGAGCGCAGAGGGUCCCAGAUUCAGAAUCUGCCGAAUCCAGACUAAGGCUUCUAACCAGGCUGGAGCCGACCCCAGACAGACCCAGGAAUGGAGAGCUGGAGCCCCUGGCCGCUUUCUGCGGAUCGACCCUUAACUUCAACGUCGCGAACCCGGAGCGUCGGAAGGGUGGGGAGGGUUGAAACCGGUUGGAUCUGGGGACUUGCUCCAGCGACUCCAUCCGCGCUGUUCUAGGGCCCAAGCCUGGUCCGCGCGCGCCCCCUGCUGGAAGCCGCUUGCCGGGCGCAGAGGCGGGUCAAUGGCGGAGGGUGCUGGCUGGGCGAGGAAGAUGUGGCUGGAACCCUGCACCAAGGCGACCGCUGCUCACGGCUCUGCAGUCCCGCGGCGCGAUACGCCAGUGGGGCGCGCUUAACCAAAGUCCCGAGGCUUUACUUCCCGUGCCCACCCAGUCUAUGUCCCAGGUAUCAGCAACCUCUGGUCCACUACACAACACAGGCGCGGUCCCUACUUCGCGCUGCGUAGUUUCCAGUGCCCAGGGCGUCUCCUAAUUCUUGAGCGACUAGUCCCUGGCACAAAAGCUUCCUAUACACCUCUCCCACUCUCCCUUCUCUCUGAGUCUUAUGACUUUGUCAGGGGCCUAUUAAAAUAAAUGUCUGAGAUCUGGAAAAAAAAAUCUGUUGGCGCUAACAGGGGCAAAGAAAACUGCAAAAUUGGAAGUAAUCGAUGUUUGAUUGAAUGUUUAAGACAUGCGACAUUGUGCAAACGAUUCUGUUGCAACUGCACUCAGAGUUGUACAUGUCCUUGUAUUUUAAUGUGGCCCGCGGAGGAUUUAAUGGACUUGCCUAAAGAUGUGGGAAGGGCCUCUGAGAAUAAGAAAGCCGGGGCCCAGAUGGGCAUCAAACAUCCCCAGCAUAGCAGCCGGUUAAGGCUGCAGAGACCUUCCCCAAGGCUGCCCUCCAGCCAGAAGCCCCUGAACACUCACUACUUCCCAUCUUUCAGCUUCUGCGCGCACAGAAACACACACACACACACACACACACACACACACACACACACACGUUCUCUCCAGCCCCACACCCCCAAGAAGCUGCUUUCCUUUUCUAAUUUCCAGUCGAAAGAUCACUCCUCAGGGAAGCCAGGCCCUGUUUAUACUCCCUCCUCUGGCCUUUCCUUGUACAGGCUCUAUGUAGUCGUCAGGCGGGCAGGUCCUAGCGUCAGCCUCCAUUAUGUACUGACUGUGUGUCCUUAGCCAAGCUAUUUAACCUCUCUGUGCCUCAAGAAAAAAAGGCAUAAAUAAGAGUACUGACCAGGCGCGGUGGCUCACACCUGUAAUAAUCCCAGCACUUUGGGAGGCCAAGGCGGGCGGAUCACAAGGUCAGGAGUUCGAGACCAGCCUGACCAACAUGGUGAAACCUCGUCUCUGCUAAAAAUACAAAAAUUAGCCGGGCGUGGUGGUGCAUGCCUGUAAUCCCAGCUACUCAGGAGGCUGAGGCAGGAGAAUCUCUUGAACUCGGGAGGCAGAGGUUGCAGUGAGCCGAGAUAGUGCCACUGCAUUCCGGCCUGGGCGACGGAGCGAGACUCUGUCUC